rnacentral:misc_RNA from 1 species
UAAUAAGUGUUUUAUGGCACUUUUUAAAUCCAUAUCCACCUUGUGUGCAAUGUCAGUCGGUUUUCUUUUUCGUCAAGAAAAAAAGGAUCGACCAAACAUCGACUUAUUCUAAUUGAACUUUUGUCUGAAAACUAUUAUGAAUAAACUAAUUCAAAAUA